ensembl:snRNA U2 U2 spliceosomal RNA
AUCACUUCUUGACCUUUUGGCUAAGAUCAAGUGUAGUAUCUAUGUCUCUUCAACUUUUUGGUAAAUAGAAAUUAUUCUAAAAUUUAAAAAUAAUUCAUGAAAGAAUGGAAGACCUUUUCCAGUUUGGAGGUCAAUACCAUUUGAACAUCUGAGAACAGACCAAUCCAUC